UACGUAGGGUGCGAGCGUUUAAUCGGAAUUACUGGGCGUAAAGCGUGCGCAGGCGGUUCGUUAAGUCAGAUGUGAAAGCCCCGAGCUCAACUUGGGAAUGGCAUUUGAAACUGGCGGGCUGGAGUGUGGCAGAGGGGGGGUGGAAUUCCACGGUGUAGCAGUGAAAUGCGUAGAUAAUCGGGAGGAACACCAGUGGCGAAGGCGACUACCUGGCCG
rnacentral:rRNA from 1 species